rnacentral:tRNA from 1 species
AGUAAAGUGAUACAUAAUCAUCUAUAAAUCCACAAUUUAUCAUUUUAUUUUAAACUAACUUUAC